UAAAAGGUCGGGAUAGCUCGU
rnacentral:tRNA from 1 species